AAUUUUAGUUGCCUAUUUUUAGGGAGUAAAUUGCUGAAAACACACGUGCUUUGUUACAAUGCUGCUUUUAGGAGAGGGCUGUGGGGCUGUGUGUCAAGAAUUCAAUUAUCUGGUCGUGUCUGUGGCUCUGCAGAAUCAGUUUUGACUCUGGGAGAUCCCUUUGGAUGCACCUCAUCCUGUAUUUCAGGCACAGUGCUCCACUGAAAGUUGUGUCCUCGGAAGAGGCUGUUUUUUAAAGAUCAAGCCUAUUGUUAAACCCACAUUGUCUGCAAUUUGGACAGCUCUUAAUGCAUCUUGAACUCCGAAUCCAGAGAGAUUUGGAUUUAUAGAUUGAAUAAAGGUCUCUAGACAUUUA